rnacentral:rRNA from 1 species
AUUGAACGCUGGCGGCAGGCUUAACACAUGCAAGUCGAGCGGGGGAAGGUAGCUUGCUACCGGACCUAGCGGCGGACGGGUGAGUAAUGCUUAGGAAUCUGCCUAUUAGUGGGGGACAACAUCUCGAAAGGGAUGCUAAUACCGCAUACGUCCUACGGGAGAAAGCAGGGGAUCUUCGGACCUUGCGCUAAUAGAUGAGCCUAAGUCGGAUUAGCUAGUUGGUGGGGUAAAGGCCUACCAAGGCGACGAUCUGUAGCGGGUCUGAGAGGAUGAUCCGCCACACUGGGACUGCGACACGGCCCAGACUCCUACGGGAGGCAGCAGUGGGGAAUAUUGGACAAUGGGGGGAACCCUGAUCCAGCCAUGCCGCGUGUGUGAAGAAGGCCUUAUGGUUGUAAAGCACUUUAGGCGAGGAGGAGGCUACUCUAGUUAAUACCUAGGGAUAGUGGACGUUACUCGCAGAAUAAGCACCGGCUAACUCUGUGCCAGCAGCCGCAGUAA